AUGAUGCCCUGGAAUUUUGGUAUUUCCUUUCGACAUAAAAGGGAAAGCAACUUGAAUUUUCUCAUGGAAUCUGAAGAAAAAUUAUAUGGUGGAAGAUGGAAUAUGCUGAAAAGGAGCCACAUUUGUAGUUAUGGCAUGUUCAAUUAUUUAUGGCUUCAAGUCAAUGGGGCCUCUUCAUUGGUUUUUGAGGUCAUUAUAGUUCUUGCUCUUUCUCAUGAGUUGUAUUCGUCCAUGUAA
rnacentral:lncRNA from 1 species